rnacentral:tRNA from 1 species
GGGCGGUUAGCUCAGCGGUAGAGCGUUCCCCUUACAAGGGAAGGGUCGGGGGUUCAAAUCCCUCACCGCCCA